UUGAACGCUAGCGGCAUGCUUUACCCAUGCAAGUCGAACGGUAACAGGCCGCAAGGUGCUGACGAGUGGCGAACGGGUGAGUAAUGCAUCGGAACGUGCCCAGUCGUGGGGGAUAACUACUCGAAAGAGUAGCUAAUACCGCAUACGAUCUAUGGAUGAAAGCGGGGGACCGUAAGGCCUCGCGCGAUUGGAGCGGCCGAUGUCAGAUUAGGUAGUUGGUGGGGUAAAGGCUCACCAAGCCAACGAUCUGUAGCUGGUCUGAGAGGACGACCAGCCACACUGGGACUGAGACACGGCCCAGACUCCUACGGGAGGCAGCAGUGGGGAAUUUUGGACAAUGGGCGCAAGCCUGAUCCAGCAAUGCCGCGUGCAGGAAGAAGGCCUUCGGGUUGUAAACUGCUUUUGUACGGAACGAAACGGCUCUGGUUAAUACCCGGGGCUAAUGACGGUACCGUAAGAAUAAGCACCGGCUAACUACGUG
rnacentral:rRNA from 1 species